UAUUUUAAGACUAUCCAAAAGUUUUUCUGUCCGAUAAACAAUUAAUCACCAACCAAUAUCCACCCAAAUAAGUCACAAUCUUCUCAAUUAACCAAAAUAAAUUUUCACCAACAUUACCAUUACCAACAUAAUAAUACUAACCCAUCUCAAAAUAUGGAGAGAAAGUGCAAUACUAGUAACUAGUCCAAUAUAACGAAUGAAUCAUCAUGACACCAAUAAGAAUGACUAUGGAGCGACUCUAAGAGUUCAAAAGAAAAGACAAUAACAAUAAAUAUACUCUUCGCCCAUGCGAACAAGUGCGGGGCUCACCAAGAACUAGCAACUCGUGUACUCUAAUUAACGAAAUCCUCGCUGGCGUCAACUAGUGCCUUGUAAAAAAAAUAGCGAGGAGUGAGUCGCUAGCUCAGUGAGUAAUAACAUUUAACCACAAACGUUUUUAAUUUGGGACAAGUCAGAAAACAUGCCUAUUAACCCGAAAAUAUCAUAAAAAUGCCCUUUCAGAAACAAUAAACAAUAAUCCAUUUCAUCAUGUGUUUUAUGUAAAUAAAAAUCAAUUAACAAUUCGGUAAUAAACUCGGUAAACACUGUCUCAUAGCAAAUUUUUAUGAUUGAGAGGUUUCCAAGAAAGGAUCAUGUAAUCUGUAUAACUGUGUGGACCCCUUCGUAAAAGGAGUCAAAUAUAACUUGUAGGUCCCUACUCGAGGGAAAAUUAUAAAUGUAUGCUAGUUCUACCUUCCCACCAGCGAGGGCUAUAACUGUAAUCGGUAAUCUGUAAAUACAAGGUGCACCAGGUCUAACGAACCCGCCGUUAGCUACGGGAUCCUUCAAAGUCUCCUCCCAUUUAUACUUUUCUUUGUAAACAGUAGAUAUUCACAUGAAAGCAUUUUCAAAAUAGUACAGGGCAUUUCAAUUCUUAUCAAAUCAUGUAAUUCAAUCUCAGUAACAGUAAUCAUAUCUCAAGUAACAGCAAAAUAUGUCUAGUAACAGCGAGAACAUUUUAAUUAACUUUAAACAUCUCAAGUAAAUUAUUCAGUACCAUAUCAAGUAAAUGACUUGUCCCACAUGCAAAUUUCAAAUAUUUUGGAACACAUUUUAUUUUCAAAGUAAUGUAUAAAGCAUGCAGGUUAUGAAAAUACAAAUUGAGGUAAGAUUACUACUCACAAUACUCAUGUCGAAAUAUCGAAUGCGUUACCUCGAACACUCUAUACAACUUUCUUCAGUCUAUAAUCACAUCACAUGAUCUUGUUAAUUGCCUUCUUUAGGCUAACUCAUAACUAAUUUAGAGUACCCAACCCUAGAGAUUACAACUUUAAUUAUCAAUUCGUCCAUUUAAUAUCUAUCCAUGCUUCGGGUUACUCAACACAUUCAGUAUUCUUCUAUUAAAAAGCUGUCAUAUUAUUUAUUCAUGGUAUUGUUCAACAAAAUAUUUUUCUCUUAAACAUGUGAAUAAGCCCAAGUUUAAUAGCAUUUCUGGCUAUACAUAUAUAAUUGGUAUUUAAUAUUCAUUACCCAAUGGAAUUUUUAUAUACACAAAGAAUAAACUCAAGCAAACUGUAAGUAAGAAAAAUUACUUUGGGAUUGAAAGGUGGCUUCUACUAUUUGCCUUCGCUUUUGUGUUCCAUGACACAAGAUUCCACCACAAAAGCUAUUUGAUCACCAUCCUUUUGCCCUUCACGGUUAAUUGCCAGAGAAUCCCCUCCUCGUUUUCAAUUUCAAUUGCUUUCAGUUCCUUGGCCGACCAAAGUCCUUGUCUUUCACCCAAAAUAUUAAUCUUUUUUUUUUUCUUCUUCUUUAUUUUAGUGGCUAAUACACUUAUCUUUAUAAAACCCUUAAG
rnacentral:lncRNA from 1 species